AGAGUUUGAUCCUGGCUCAGAUUGAACGCUGGCGGCAUGCCUUACACGUGCAAGUCGAACGGUAACAGGUCUUCGGAUGCUGACGAGUGGCGAACGGGUGAGUAAUACAUCGGAACGUGCCCGAUCGUGGGGGAUAACGAGGCGAAAGCUUUGCUAAUACCGCAUACGAUCUACGGAUGAAAGCGGGGGAUCUUCGGACCUCGCGCGGACGGAGCGGCCGAUGGCAGAUUAGGUAGUUGGUGGGAUAAAAGCUUACCAAGCCGACGAUCUGUAGCUGGUCUGAGAGGAUGAUCAGCCACACUGGGACUGAGACACGGCCCAGACUCCUACGGGAGGCAGCAGUGGGGAAUUUUGGACAAUGGGCGCAAGCCUGAUCCAGCCAUGCCGCGUGAGUGAAGAAGGCCUUCGGGUUGUAAAGCUCUUUCGGCCGGGAAGAAAUCGUGUUCUCUAACAUAGGGCAUGGAUGACGGUACCGGACUAAGAAGCACCGGCUAACUACGUGCCAGCAGCCGCGGUAAUACGUAGGGUGCGAGCGUUAAUCGGAAUUACUGGGCGUAAAGCGUGCGCAGGCGGUUUUGUAAGACAGAUGUGAAAUCCCCGGGCUUAACCUGGGAACUGCGUUUGUGACUGCAAGGCUAGAGUACGGCAGAGGGGGGUGGAAUUCCUGGUGUAGCAGUGAAAUGCGUAGAUAUCAGGAGGAACACCGAUG
rnacentral:rRNA from 1 species